rnacentral:rRNA from 1 species
CCUACGGGUGGCAGCAGUGAGGAAUAUUGGUCAAUGGACGCGAGACUGAACCAGCCAAGCCGCGUGCAGGAUGACGGUACAGAGAGUUGUAAACUUCUUUUGUCCGAGGACAAACGCGGAGACGUGUACCCGGCUGAGAGUAUCUGACGAAAAAGCAUCGGCUAACUCCGUGCCAGCAGCCGCGGUAAUACGGAGGAUUCGAGCGUUAUCCGGAUUUAUUGGGUUUAAAGGGUGCGCAGGCGGUCGGGUAAGUUAGCGGUCAAAUCCCGGGGCUCAACUCCGGGCUCGCCUCUGAUACUGUCAGGCUCGAGUUGGAUAGAGGUAGGCGGAAUGUGCGGUGUAGCGGUGAAAUGCAUAGAGAUCGUACAGAACCCCGAUUGCGAAGGCAGCAUACC